GCAGGGACCAAUCACAGAGAACCUCCACUCCACCACUUCCUCCUUUGAAAAUCUUAAAACAUGUCCUUUUUUUUUUUUUUUUACUAUUCUGACGAUCUGUGUGACGACGUUGGACCUGACCAGCAGCUCACCUCUCCCGACGAGAAGUAAUGUGGCGCUUUGAAGGACGUGAGCGAUAAGAACUAAUGACGCUGAUGAAAAGAAGCCGAUGUGCAGCCACAUUAGGCAGUGGCGGAGCCAGAGAUGUUUCAUUGGAGUGGCCAAGGUGGCGGUACUGUGCAAGACAAAGUGCUUGACAUCUACUAAAGACGUGUAGGAGAAGAGGACCGUAGACCAGAAUGCAAGGAAAAACUUUGACAAAUUCAAAAUUCACACAAUCUGAACAUGUAAAUAAAUAAAUAAAUCACG